rnacentral:lncRNA from 1 species
CUUGCUUUGCAGGCUGCCACAAGUAAAUCAAGGAAGCACUGAGCUGGCAUACGUUGGACUUCCCUCAGUGGUGUUGGGGGAGUCACCAAAGGAAGUGCUUAAAAGAAAAGAGGUUUCACAAUGGAUCCAGGAGGAAAGUAAAGAGCACUGGACUUGGUGUCAGAAGAUGAGGGUGGAAUCUCAACUCUGCCACUAAUUAGCCCCACGACCUUGGACCGAGGACCAAGAGGAGACCGGUCUGAUGGAGAGACUAUUGCCCUCACCUUGAGACCCAGGAUUGUAUUUGGAUUCAGUGACUGGAGGUUGCUUAAGGAUUUCAUCCUAGCUCCAUUUUUGAACGUAACUUCUACUAACUUCCCAUAGUGCUGGAGUGUGAUGGAAAUUGUUUUGGAAGAUGCUGAGGUGGAAAAGGCCUCCUAAUCUUCUGAACUCCUGAAGUACUUUCUCUCUUCCUCUGAGAAAACAUGAAAUAAAAUACUGCAUCCUGAACACAAAAUACUCCUUUUAGCAACUAAAGGAGUCGAUUGCUGAGGCAACCGGAGGAUCCAGAGAUCAACACAGACAACUCCUGUUUCUUCAAUAACCUUCACUGAUGUCUUUACAUGCAAGGUGGAGGGAAGUCAUCAUUGCUCAGAUACUGGGCUUCUGUUUGAGCACAUCUUCUUCCUCACUUACACUGGAGUGGCCAGUUUCCAGCUAAGAUCCAGCCACUUCACCAUCGGCCUCUACUGUAGUAUCAAUCACACAGACUCAGAGCGGCGUCUUGUUUGCGGCCAGUUGUUGUGGGAAUGGCUUUUCUGAGGUAAUGCUCUCAGCGUUUGCAUACAGCUGAAUAAACAGUCUUGUUUCAUUUGAAAGCUCUUGACCAUGAGGUUUUUUCAUUCAUUUGAUAGUUAUUUCUUAUUCACCUAAUGUGUGUCUACUCCAUUUUCUUCAGGAUUUUUUUGUUUAGGCUGUUUUCUUCAAAUAGCUGUCAUUUGAAGUUGCCUUAAAUUUACAUUGUGAAGAUCUGUUUAUAACCAAGCAUGCUUUCUUUCUCCUUUCCAGCUCUGUAUAAAUAAUCCUACACAUCCAUCAAGUCUCAGCUAAAAUGUUUCUUUCUCAAUGAAGCAUCCCCGCAUAAUUUUAGGUUUUAAAUGUCUUGAU